GGGAGGAGGCUGGAGGGCGCUGCGCGCUCCCCCCGGAUCCCGAGUGUCUCCCUCGGGCCCGGCGUCGCGGGGGCUUCGAGUUUGGGGACGGGAAGGAGCUGCAGGGAAGUGUGCGCGCCCUGCUCAGCCCUCUAUGACUUCAGGGAAAGCAGGGCUCGCAGAGGAAAGGGGUGGGGAGCGCGCUCCCUGCGGAAGGAAAAGGCCCGGCCAACGCCGAGGGCACAAAGGGCCCCCGCGCCGCGCCCCGCGGCCCCUCGGACCCCAGGGCGGUCCCAGGCGGCGGCAGAGCGCGCCACGCACCCAUCGCGUGACCGUGGCGCGUCCGGGCGCCGUCGCCCGGGGGCUGCUGCAGGGCGCCUGGCCCGGUGACCUCAGCCCGGAGGCCGCGGCCUCGCGGCGCCAAACGGAGACGGCCCCACGGUCCGGCGCGCCGGACACGCCCGCCCUUCGGCCUGCGAGGAAACUGUGACCCGACCCCACCCCCAUCUCCCUCGGCCGCCGUCGCCCCUCGAGCCUCCGCGCGCGGGGCCGUGCGCCCCAGAGGGGUUGGCCGCCACCGGCGCCCGCUCGGCCGCCUGCCUCCACUGCGGGGGAAGCUAUGCUGGGCCCCUUCUGGGAAGCCGCCACCUUCUGGGCCAGGCUUCUGCGCAGUCCAUUCAUCAAGCGGUGACAAGCCUCCCUAGUCCCCAUGAGAUGGGACCUCCUUGUAGGUAAUCUUAAGGAACCUGCUUUGCUGCUGCCACCAUUUGAUUUGUUUCUCUGGGACGAAUCACAGCACAAUACCCCUUGGUGUGAUUUCAGAUGUGAUCAGCUUUCAGCUAAAUAUUUUUACCCCACUUCUCACACUGUCGGGGAAUCCCGGAUGGCACACAGCGGUAGAUGGCGUGUAUUGUUCCGUAAAUCCUGAGACUUCAAACAGGAACACUAAGUAGAAAAACAAAACUCUAAAGCAGCGGUUCUCAACCUGUGGGUCGCGACCCCUUUGGGGAUCGAACGACCCUUUCACCGGGGUCGCCUAAGACCAUCG